rnacentral:rRNA from 1 species
UGAGUGAAGAAUAUGACGGUAACUCAUGAAUAAGCACCGGCUAACUACGUGCCAGCAGCCGCGGUCAUACGUAGGGUGCAAGCAUUAUCCGGAGUGACUGGGCGUAAAGAGUUGCGUAGGUGGUUCGUAAAGUGAAUAGUGAAAUCUGGUGGCUCAACCAUACAGGCUAUUAUUCAAACUCACGAACUCGAGAAUGGUAGAGGUAACUGGAAUUUCUAGUGUAGGAGUGAAAUCCGUAGAUAUUAGAAGGAACACCAAUGGCGUAGGCAGGUUACUGGACCAUUUCUGACACUGAGGCACGAAAGCGUGGGGAGCGAACGGGAUUAGAUACCCCGGUAGUCCACGCCGUAAACGAUGGAUACUAGCUGUCAGGGGUAUCGACCCCCUUGGUAGCGAAGCUAACGCGUUAAGUAUCCCGCCUGUGGAGUACGGUCGCAAGACUAAAACAUAAAGGAAUUGACGGGGACCCGCACAAGCGGUGGAUCAUGUUCUUUAAUUCGAUGAUAAACGAUAAACCUUACCAGGGCUUGACAUCCCGAGAAUUACUCCGAAAGGAGUGAGUGCUUUUAGAACUCGGUGACAGAUCUUGCAUGGCCGUCGUCAGCUCGUGUCGUGAGAUGUUUGGUUAAGUCCAUCAACGAGCGCAACCCUUGUGAAUAGUUGUAUUUUUCUAUUCAGACUGCCCCGGCAACGGGGAGGAAGGAGGGGAUGAUGUCAGGUCAGUAUUAGUCUUACGUCCUGGGCUAGAAACGUGAUACAAUGGCCGGUACAAUGCGUAGCGAAGCAGUAAUGUGAAGCAAAUCGCAUCAAAGCCGGUCCCAGUUCGGAUUGGGGGCUGAAACUCGCCCCCAUGAAGUCGGAAUCG